AGCUCAGUGGCGUAGUGGUAACACAUUCCGAAUUCCUAUAUAUGUGUUUCGUUUGAUGGAAAGUUCGGAGUUCAAUUCUCUGUCAAGCCA